GGGCUGCUCAAGGAGCCUUCUAGGAAAGACAAAGACGUGAGGGGGAGCAACUCAGUGGUGCCAUUGAGAACCAAGCCCUUCACAACCCUCGGCUUCUAAGGACAUCCCACAGCACUGGACAUGCAGGACACACGGUGACCGCUGAAGUUUGCCAAAAUGAGGCAGAACAGUCCUCCAAAAUUCCUGUUUCACAGAAGAGUCUGUCAGAUAUUCUGCAGGACACAGAGAAAAGCGACUGAUGAACUUUGCCAAAACAAGGCAGGACAGUCCCUCAAAUUUCCCGCUUCACUGAAAAGCCUUCCAGAUACUCUAGGCCUGUAGGCUGAAGAUGGAUGCCCCAACAUUGCAGAAGAACUGUGCGUGACUGUCCAGGCAGCUAAAUGUUUCUGUUGUUAGGCAAUAUUAUUAAAGGCUAAAUAACUAGA